GGUCAUAUCAUGUUGAAACACUGGUUCUCAUAUGAUCACCAAAAUUAAGCAAUGUCAAGCCUAGUCAGUACCUAGAUGGGUGACUGCUUGGGAAUGCCAGGUGCU